rnacentral:rRNA from 1 species
GAUGAACGCUGGCGGCGUGCCUAAUACAUGCAAGUCGAGCGAACGGACGAGAAGCUUGCUUCUCUGAUGUUAGCGGCGGACGGGUGUGUAACACGUGGAUAACCUACCUAUAAGACUGGGAUAACUUCGGGAAACCGGCGCUAAUACCGGAUAAUAUUUUGAACCGCAUGGUUCAAAAGUGAAAGACGGUCUUGCUGUCACUUAUAGAUGGAUCCGCGCUGCAUUAGCUAGUUGGUAAGGUAACGGCUUACCAAGGCAACGAUGCAUAGCCGACCUGAGAGGGUGAUCGGCCACACUGGAACUGAGACACGGUCCACACUCCUACGCGAGGCCGCAGUCGGGAAUCUGCCGCACAGGGCGAGAGCCUGACGCAGCAACGGCGCGUGAGUGAUGAAAAUCUUGGGACCGUAAACCUGUGUUAUUAGGGAAGAACAUAUGUGUAAGUAACUGUGCACAUCUUGCCGGUACCUAGUCAGAAAGCCACGGCUAACUACGUU